AGGAGAGUUAAGCAAGUCUUUUGGCCGCUCGGGGCGCAAAAAGGAGUGCAACACGAGGACUUCCCAGGGGGUCACCCAUCCUAGUACUACUCUCGCCCAAGCACGCUUAACUUCGGAGUUCUGAUGGGAUCCGGUGCUUUAGUGCUGGUAUGAUCGCACUCGCUUUGUUUGCGUCGUCCCUCGCCUUUGUGCACGCCGCGGACGGCGUAUCGAUGACUGGAGCCCAUUACGCGCCCCGAAACCUAUCGAACGAUCUCGGAAUCGCCAUCGUCGGAUCUCUCCGAUGCCCACGAGGCCGACCGCGUACCGGACACGGCAAGCGCGCGCCGAAACCAUCCGGACUUUCUCGAACGAACUCGGAAUCGCUAUUGCGGCCCCAUUCCGGAAAGCUCUCUCCGAGCCCCACGAGACUGACUGCGUAGCGGUCACGGCGAAUUCCGAGGCCCAAAACCAUCGCCUCGGAGGUCGACGGGAGAGGUUUUGGCAGCUCGGGGCGCAAAAAGGAGUGCAACACGAGGACUUCCCAGGGGGUCACCCAUCCUAGAACCAUAUCUGAUCAUUGCAUGUUUACGAAGAAAUUUUUAGAUGAUGAUUUCAUUAUUCUCCUGCUAUACGUUAACGAUAUAUUUAUUGUUGGCCAUAAUGCUGGAAGAAUCGAAAAGCGUAAAGGAGAGUUAAGCAAGUCUUUUGGCCGCUCGGGGCGCAAAAAGGAGUGCAACACGAGGACUUCCCAGGGGGUCACCCAUCCUAGUACUACUCUCGCCCAAGCACGCUUAACUUCGGAGUUCUGAUGGGAUCCGAUGCUUUAGUGCUGGUAUGAUCGCACUCGUUUUGUUUGCGUCCUCCCUCCCCUUUGUGCACGUCGCGGACGGCGUAUCGACGA
rnacentral:lncRNA from 1 species